rnacentral:rRNA from 1 species
GUGGGGAAUAUUGGACAAUGGGGGGAACCCUGAUCCAGCCAUGUCGCGUGUGUGAAGAAGGCCUUUUGGUUGUAAAGCACUUUAAGCGAGGAGGAGGCUACCGAGAUUAAUACUCUUGGAUAGUGGACGUUACUCGCAGAAUAAGCACCGGCUAACUCUGUGCCAGCAGCCGCGGUAAUACAGAGGGUGCAAGCGUUAAUCGGAUUUACUGGGCGUAAAGCGCGCGUAGGUGGCCAAUUAAGUCAAAUGUGAAAUCCCCGAGCUUAACUUGGGAAUUGCAUUCGAUACUGGUUGGCUAGAGUAUGGGAGAGGAUGGUAGAAUUCCAGGUGUAGCGGUGAAAUGCGUAGAGAUCUGGAGGAAUACCGAUGGCGAAGGCAGCCAUCUGGCCUAAUACUGACACUGAGGUGCGAAAGCAUGGGGAGCAAACAGGAUUAGAAACCCGUGUAGUCC